GAUGAACGCUAGCGGCAGGCCUAAUACAUGCAAGUCAAGGGGCCAGUAAAUGGCACCGGCGGACGGGUGCGUAACGCGUACACAACGUACCUUUGGGUGGGGGAUAGCAUCGGGAAACUGGUGGUAAAUACCCCCAUGGUAAUUGGAGACUGGCAUCAGUUUUCAAUUAAAGACUACGCCCAAAGAUCGGUGUGCGUCUGAUUAGCUAGUUGGUAGGUAACGGCCUACCAAGGCGACGAUCAGUAGGGGGCGUGAGAGCGUGGCCCCCCACACGGGUACUGAGACACGGACCCGACUCCUACGGGAGG
rnacentral:rRNA from 1 species